GACAGAGGCCCCAAGCGUUAGGCGGAAUCACUGGGCUUAAAGCGUGUGUAGGCGGAUCGUUAAGUGUCUUGUGAAAUCCCACGGCUCACCCGUGGAACUGCUGGGCAUACUGGCGAUCUUGGGCCAACUAGGGGCAGUCGGAACAGGCGGUGGAGCGGUGAAAUGCGUAGGAUAUCGCUUGGAACGCCGAAGGUGAAAACAGACUGCUGGGGUUGCGCCGACGCUGAGACACGAAAGCCAGGGGAGCAAACGGG
rnacentral:rRNA from 1 species